rnacentral:rRNA from 1 species
GAUGAACGCUAGCGGCAGGCUUAAUACAUGCAAGUCGAGGGGCAGCAUAAGUAGCAAUACUUGAUGGCGACCGGCAAACGGGUGCGGAACACGUACGCAACCUUCCUUUAAGUGGGGAAUAGCCCGGGGAAACCCGGAUUAAUACCCCGUAAUAUUAUGAUGUGGCAUCACAUUAUAAUUAUAGAUUCAUCGCUUAAAGAUGGGCGUGCGCCUGAUUAGGUAGUUGGCGGAGUAAUAGCCCACCAAGCCUGCGAUCAGUAACUGGUGUGAGAGCACGACCAGUCACACGGGCACUGAGACACGGGCCCGACUCCUACGGGAGGCAGCAGUAAGGAAUAUUGGUCAAUGGACGCAAGUCUGAACCAGCCAUGCCGCGUGGAGGAUGAAGGUCCUCUGGAUUGUAAACUUCUUUUAUUUGGGAAGAAUGUGAUGAUUCUUUAUCACUUGACGGUACCAGAUGAAUAAGCACCGGCUAACUCCGUGCCA